rnacentral:rRNA from 1 species
GUGUCAGCAGCCGCGGUAAUACAGAGGGUGCGAGCGUUAAUCGGAAUUACUGGGCGUAAAGCGCGCGUAGACGGUUUUGUAAGUCAGAUGUGAAAUCCCCGGGCUCAACCUGGGAACUGCAUUUGAGACUGCAUGGCUAGAGUAUGGAAGAGGGAAGUGGAAUUUCCGGUGUAGCGGUGAAAUGCGUAGAUAUCGGAAGGAACACCAGUGGCGAAAGCGACUUCCUGGUCCAAUACUGACGUUCAUGUGCGAAAGCGUGGGGAGCAAACAGGAUUAGAUACCCCCGUAGUCC